UGUUAUUAACCUCCUUCUGGUGCCCGAGGUCCUUCGAGUGACAAUUAUGCGAGGCGGAGCCUGGAGUCGCUUUGUCUGCUUGGGAUCUGUAAUUCAUUCUUCUGAGUGCUGCUCUCUCAUCUCCUACCAUAAAUCCCAUCUGAGGCACCCUAGGAAAGAACUGUGUUUUUGGCAUUAGAUCCUGAAAUGGAAAGCCAUAUCUGGAAGAAAAUUGGCUGUAAUCCGGACAUCCAUCCUAAUGUAAGCAGUGAAAAAAAACCAGCAAUUGGAAAUGUUGGCAUAUUUGUCUGCUAUUUACAGAUAUAUAUGUAUUUACACACAGGUACGUGGGUGUGUACAUGUAUGUUCAUCUCUGUGAGUGUUAUUCCUUGCUGUCUGAUCAAAGCUUCCUGCAAUAUCAGCAGAAGGAUUGGUGAUCAUAGAAUCGUUUCAAUUGGAAGGGACCUUUAAAGGGCAUCCAGUCCAGCUCCUCUGGAAUGAACAGGGACACCUAUGGCUCCAACAGGUGCUCAGAGCCCUGUUCAGCCUGAGCAUGAAUGUCUCUAGGGAUGGGACAUCCACCACCUCUCUGGGCAACCUGUGCCAGUGCUUCACUACCCCUUAUACAUAUAUUUUUUUCCUUAUAUCCAGUCUAAAUCUCCCAUCUUUGAGUUUGAAAACAUGAUGUGUACAUAUGCCUGCUGGGAGGCACAGCUAAAGACUUUUAAUCUCCAUCUACUUGUUUUGAACCCAGCACUUGAUGAACAAGCUGAUACUUGCUGUAGUGUUAUGUGGAGCUAAAUGUCCCCGGUGUCCUUGCUGGAGAUCUAUGAGGACAAGGCCAGCUGCAGAGAAUUGUCUAUUCUUUGUUGUACAAGAUGCUUGACUCACUCAAAAGACAGAACCAUAUGUGAGAAAAAGGCAAAAAACUUCAAUUGCUUUGCAAUUAGAGUCAGCCCAAUUAUCUUCUGAGCCAUGUGUCCAACCAGAUAGUAUUUUGUUCUUUUUUGCCCUCUUAUUUAUGUUUUAAUUAAAAAAGGAGUUUUUUUACUUAUAUACAUCCACUAUAUUACAUGUUUUAUAUGCAGCCCAAGACAAUUCCUCUUCACACCGUGCGGCCCAGAGAAGCCAAGAGGCUGGAUGGCCAUGUAUCUGAGCUUAUACAGGUAGCCAAGGUUUUUGCCUUGUGCAGCCCCACAAUACGGAGUAGCAGUGCAGUUGUGGUCUUGACCAUGAAUGGUACCUGGCUCUGCACCACAGUCAGACACCUGCCUCAGGUAUACCUUUGAAAAGGGAUUUUUUUUUCUGUAAGUAAUUGCUCCAAGUCUGUUAUGGGACUGAAUGAAGAGGGAGCCUGUCUCCACGCCAGAAAACCUCUAGGUGAGGGUCUUGUGUGGUCUGUACUAUGUUAACAUGUGGCUCAGGAUCUUAGCAGCUUGGAGAAGUCUUGCCAUGCCUAAAGAAGAGUUCCCACCAGCUGAAAACUGCUUUGCACAGCUGCCAUGUGGUUUUCAGCUGAACUGUGUGGAUGGACGGGGAGAAAAGCAGCUUCACACCUGUCCAGGUUUUGAAGCUACAGUGAGAGUGAACCCACCCACAGCCUGAUGCUGUCUUGGUACACAGCCUCAGCUCUGCAGAUGAUGUAGAAAGAUGUGACAGAUAAAAAGCAAUCUGAGUCAACGGGCUCUGCUGUUGAAUUGUCAGAGGAGCUUCCACUGAGCUGUAAUACCAUGGCCAUCUCCAAUAUAGCUGAGCUUAGAGGUGACAAAUAUGUGGAACGCACGGCUUCUUUUUUUUGGUAAAUGCUGCCACUGACCUGGGGAACUGACUGCUCUGAGGUAUUGGUGCAGUUCUGAAUGGUUGUGCACGUGCAACACAAGGCAGUAUUUUCCACAGGGCUCCCUAUUCCCCCUCCAGCUUUCAUGGCCUUGCUUCCCAGUGCUGCCUCUUCAAACCUUGUUUCAGGCCAAUGCUCCCUAUGAUUAUGGAGACAGCACAUCUGAAAAGCAGCAAAAAUAAAUUGCAAAAAUGAAUCACAAAAAUGAAUACGAGAAAGUAUUUUACCUAGUGUCAUUUAGGACUCCAGGGAAAAAUGGCUUAAGCAUGGAAGCACAAAGAAGACACUGAGCAUCACUGGGAGAAAGGCUAUGGAAAGGUCCAGCAGCAGAAGUAAGUGAGUUUGGAUGUUUCUUAUUGGAGUUUGUGAGAGGAUGAUGCAUCUGUAAAUCCUGACUCCCACAGUCUUGAGGAAUGACAUGCAUUUGAGAAGCAUCUUUUAACUUACUGGUGUCUUCAUGAGAUGAAAGAUUUUUUUUGAGCCAAAACCAAAGAACUCAGUGCCACAAACAUAUAUCUGUACUUGUGCAGGAGAGGGCAGCAUUUGGUUCUAUUGCUCCAAUAUCAGCCUGACAUGGGGAAGUUCCAUCAGUUCGUACUGGGCAGUGAUGCAAAAUGACAGGAUUUGUCCCAAGUUAGAUAAGUUGCACGUAAUUUAAAGGUUACUCUAAGGCACAGAAAUCAUCAUUUCCUUGAUACUUGGCUGGAAGGAGAGGCACGUGCAUCAGUCUUUUGCAGAGCAGAGGACUCAGAGUUCUUGGCACUAUGGCAGUGAAAAAGAGAGGAAGUCCAGGCCUGACGUGGGAUAGGACAUCUGAAUGUGCAGAUCUCAUAGCAGUGGGACCCGCUGAACCCACCCUGUCAGCAAAUCAGGUAGAUUUUGGCCAGAUUACAGCAUUUAUAGAGUUUAGGUCCAGUCAAGAGAGUCUGCUCUUGCAAAUAGCUCUGGUUCUUGUAACAAUCUGAGCCUGCUACCAUGGUAUCCAAGGAAGUCUAAUCUGGUGUGAAUUAGCACACCAUUACAAGAGAUAGAGGCACUCUCCCAAUUGAUAUCAGCUGAGAUUUGCUACAGCAGAUGUCUUUCCCAGCCUCUUCCCUAAGUAAAAGCUUCCACUGAUUUGACCAGAGAAUGUGUCAUGUCUUGGUGGAAAGCUUAGCAAAUUCUCUUUGUUUAUUAAGUUCACAACAUGCACAGUGUAUUUGUGACCAUGGAGAAUGUGUAUCAGAAUCUGGGAAGAGCAAGACUUGUUUAUACAUGGAAAGAGUGCCUGCAAGAGAUGCAUGGAGGGCUGUGGGCUGCAGGAAGGAGCUGUAUUUGCAGGCAGCACCUUUUGCAGGGUGAAGGCCUGUCUUUGGAACAAAACAAUUGCCUUUUGGAAGAACUCCACCCAAUGCAUCACUGGGCAGAGUGCAAAAUGCAUCCUUGCAGCCUGUGACAAGUUGACUCAUGAGUUACAGUGGAAAACAAACCUUCUGUUACUCCAGAAAGUAAGUUCAUGGUAGACAAGAGGCUGUGAUCUUACCUCAGUAGACUGGGAUCUCUCGGCCUGCAAGUAAACCCACAGGAAUGCAACACGGAUUUAUUUCCAGCCAACCUCCCAGCUCCAGGAGCUCUGCAAGAGGCUUGGACCAGCCUUGGGGCUGAGGUAGAAGACAGAAGCCCACUUUUGUAGGGUGCCUGCCUGUACGACUUUGACCUAUAGGGAGGCCUGCGAGGAAGCAAUGGGGAUGUCAGCCUUCAUGCUCUGCCCCAAACAGAGCCCAUGCCUGCAGGAAAACCUUGUACACGGCUCUAGUAUGCAGAUCAUGGGCCUCUUUCCUUCCUCAGUCAAAAGCUCCACUCUUUUCCAUGCUAUUUUUUUUUUUACUCUGAGCAAUGGAUUCAUGGUCCUUUCCUGUUGAUGGCUGCAUUUCAUCUCCUUCCCUUCUGCACAGUGUGCUGGUUGUCUCCUCUAUCCUCCUCUUGUUCAUCAGGCUGGGAUAUUAGAAGAGCUGUGUGUGGUCCUGGACAGCUCCUGAUCCAUGCUUGCUUCAGGAGGCAUUGAGGUUUCAAAGGUAAAAAGUGUGUGUAUGUGUGAAGUGGGGCUUAUUUUUCUUGAUACCAAAAAUGUCUGGAAGAAUGAAGCUUGGCUGGGAAAUUCCUGCACAACCCACAGGUCCCCUGAAUUCCCAGAAAGACAGUGGAUAGAGAGCACAAAACAAUAUGUGAGAAAAUAUCAGACAAAGAAAAUGUACAAUAGCAGUUCUUAGGCCAGACAUGUUUGAAAAAUUAAGAUGCACACUCAAUUCUGUCAUCCUUCUCUGUCAGGUGAAGUGAAAUCCACUGCUGGGUCUGUUUUGAUAAGACAAAGGGAAAUGGUGUCAAACUAAAAGAGACGAGAUUUAGACCGGAUAUAAGGAAAACAUUUUUUUUUACAAUAAGGGCAGUGAGGCACUGACACAGGUUGCCCAGAGAGGUAGGUGGUGGAUGCCCUGUUCCUGGAGAUACUCAAGGUCAGGUUGCAUGGGAUCUGAGCACCUAAUGGAGCUGUAGCUGUCCCUGUUCAUUUCAGGGGAGUUGGACCAGAUGAAUUUUAAGGGUCCCUUCCAACACAAACAAUGCUAUGAUUCUAUGUUUCUAUGUCUGAGACUUAAAAAAAAAAUCACAGUGGCCUCUGUACCUCUUGGAUUUUCUGUUACAUCUCCGUGUUGAGAUUUUCCUCCCUUUCUCAAAAGGUGAAUUGUUCCAUAUUGGUCCAACUUGCUUUUCUCCUCCCUCAUCCAGAUCUCUAGAAACCUCUGCAAGGCAGGACUGCCUACAAGCUUUGUCUCAUGAAGGUAGUAAUGGAGGGAAGAGAUGGACUAAUUGAGUUCCCAGCAUGGAUCCAGGCCUACAGCAGCCUGGUUUGGAAAGGUAUUCCCUGCAUUGGCCAUCACAGUCCCCUUGUCCGGACCAUUGGUGUCAUCAGCUUGCAGUUCUACUAUGCAAGUUGAGGUAGGGAUGUCUCUGAAGUGCUGACAAACCAAGGCUCUGUUACAGCUGGCUGAGAAUUGUCUAUGUUUUAUGAAAAAAAUUAAAGACAACAAUAUCAAAAGGAAACAUUUUGAGUCAGCAGUGCCCAACAUUUAUAUAUGCCCACCUCUUACAGGAUGGAGAUCUGGUGGCUCAUUUUCUUAUAGAGAUGGACUUGGAUGGACUAUGUAUCCCAUAAUGAACUACUGUCUUUUUGCACUUCCAUGUUUUCUCUGUGAGACCUGGUGAUAUACUGUUGGAUGGGAAGUCUCAGAUAUGCUGAAGUUGACCUAUAACAGAAGCUGGGAUCUUUGGGUGUGUGCAUGGUGAGCUCUCAGCAGCUCAGCCAGGUGCAAUUUCAAGUCUGAAAUACGUCAAAGUGAUGAAUAAAAUAUUCCUUCCCAGAACACUUCAUUCUCUGAAAAGCGCUUUGAUAUUUCAACAUUUUGUCCCUAGUCAUAACGGAAACAAAUACUGAAAUAUUGGAAAUUCCUGUGGGAUGAAAUUCUAUGAAGUUCGUUUUUGCACUUAGUGAAAGUAAAUACAAAAAUGCCUUGUGGGUGAUUUUUUUGUUUUUGCUCCCUUAAUUAAAGUUUCCUGAUUUUUCCACAGUGUCAGGGUCAGUUUAAAGUGUUUAUUCCCUUCAAGAGCCAUUGCACGCAAAUAGGCCUUGAGAUGUCUCCAUGGUGGGGAGGGAGAUGUACAUGGAAAUCCAGGUUUCUAGGGUAGUCUAAGGGUGGGGAAUGAACCCUUCUCCUUGCUUGGUUAUGGGCACCUCUCUGCAGAGCAUUGAUUGUUGCUCUGGUUUGCCCACUGCUUUGCAUCAAUGGGACACUGUCAGGAAGAAACAAAGAUAUGUAUUUUUUAUUCAUUUUCUUCCUGGCAUAUAUAAAAUGUGCUGCUUUGUUGGAAGCCUUUUUGGUUUAUUUUUAAUAGCAGUGUGGAACGUCAGGAAGCAUUCAGAUUUCAAGCCUUGCACAGUGGUAGAAUUCACAUUUCAAUUAGGUUUGAAGGAAGGUUUCCUUUAGCCAGCAAGGUGCUCACCAGUGCUAGCAUUCCUCUGCAGGCCUCUUUCUUCUCUUCCUGUCAUCUCUACGUAAGUGAACGUGGCUGGUGAGUUUAUUGCAACCUUGUUUGGCAAGAGUUUAAUGCCAGGCUGAAGAUUUACUGGCAACCGACAUUUUUGGAAGACUUGGUCCAUCUGAAACUGAAAUUCCUAGUAUGAGGUCUGAAUUUUAAUUUUUCCUCUGCUUCAGUGUUAACAAAUAUUACUGAGUUAUGAUACCAGCUUUUUCUCCCCAGAUUUACCUUUUCAUAGAAUCAUAGAAUCAUUAAGUUUGGAAAAGACCUCUAAGAUCAUUCAGUCUAACUGUCCACCUACCACCAAUAUUGCCCACUAAACCCUGUCCCUCAGUGCUACAUUGCCUCUUUUCUUGAAUACCUCCAUGGACGGUGACUCCCUGGGCAGCCUCUUCCAGUGCAUUAGCACUUUUUAUGGGAAGAAAUGUCUCCUAAUAACCAACCUGAACCUCCCCUGGUGCAACUUGAGGCCAUUCCCUCUCAUCGCUGUUAUCUGGGAAAAGAAGCUGACUUCCACCUCAUCACAACUUCCUUCCAGGGAGUUGUAGAGAGCGAUAAGGUCUCCCCUGAGCCUCCUCUUUUCCAGACUGAACAAUUCCAGCUCCCUCAGCCGCUCCCCCUAAGACUUGUGCUCCAGUUCCC